GCCCGAGUGGUGAAAUCGGUAGACACAAGGGAUUUAAAAUCCCUCGACGUUCGCGUCGUGCCGGUUCGAUUCCGGCCUCAGGCACCA
rnacentral:tRNA from 1 species